GGCAGGUAUCUAGUCUAUUCUUAGGCAAUUACAUAACAUCUAUUUUUAGCUUAGUAGGAAUAGUGCCCUAGAGGGGGGUUAGAGUAUUGUUGAUGAAUUGAGAGGAAGCAUCGUUGUAUUUGAUGCAUUACAAUCAGUUAUUAUUUACUAUUUUCGAACCAUAUUCGAAAUUGUUUUUUUUUUUUUUUUUUUGUUAACGGAUAUUGACAUGGAUAUACGUUUCUUUGGAAUAGUGAUUGGAUAUUGUUCAUUUGAUUGAGUAAUUAUUAUCACUUCAAUAUCACUUUCCAAGUGCGUGCUAUGGGUACGCGCCCAGGUAAACACAGAUAAUCGUAUUAUGAUCUUUAAUAUUUCGAAACUGGAUUAACUCUUCUUUGUAGAGUUGAGAACAAGAACAUAGAUGUCCAGCUCACGCUAUGAGAUGACUGAUUGACCUUAUUUCGAUAUCGAGACAUUCGGCCAUGACAGCAUUUUCAAGUGCGCGAUCCCACAAUGCAACGCAUAUAUGUAAACAAUAACAAUAAUUGGAAUAGAACCACGAUUGAGUAGACUAAGUGUGUAAACGUUCGUUCAAUAUUUAAUACACAUCUUGAUUAAUAAAUAAUGUUUGUCAGCAUUUUCCAAAAUGUCAGUAUCAUUACAAGUUUCCCGUACUUUAUGCCCGCC
rnacentral:lncRNA from 1 species